GGGCUGUUGGGGACGGGAUGGUAGAGGUGGGCCUGAUGCAAAAGCUGCCGGCAGAUGUCGUAUUGGGGAACGACCUGGGCCUAAUGACUUCCGCUUUUAUACCUCAAGCUCCACUCCAAGAGGCCCAACCAGUAACCACAAGGCAACAGGCUCGCACCACGGCUCCAUCUGCGCACUCUGAGGCUCAGGUAAGAGACAUUGACACUCCUACGACACGUGUUACCUGGGAUACCCCAAAUGAAUUUGAGGCAGAGGUUAAGAUAGACCCUACAUUAAAAGUGUACAAGGAUAGGGUCAUCUCCGACCAGGCCGGAUUAGAGGGGGAACAGUAUACCUGGGAAAAGGGGUUAUUGUACCGUAUUGCUGAAAUGGUAGUGGGAGGGUCUGUAAAUGUGACUACUAGACAGCUAGUAGUACCCCAGACAUAUCAACAGGAACUUCUUCGAAUCGCACACGACAUCCCCUUGUCUGGGCAUCUGGGGAUGACUCGCACCCAAUACUGCCUAACCCAUGCCUUUUUAUGGCCAGGUAUAUCCAAGGAUGUGCGGCAGUACUGCCAGACAUGCAACAUCUGUCAGCGAGUAGGCAAGAGGGGUGACCG